rnacentral:tRNA from 1 species
GGAAUAUAGCCCAGUUGGUAGAGUGUUUGCCUUGCAUGCACAAAGCCCUGGGUUCGAUCCCCAGAACCA